ensembl:ncRNA lncRNA:CR44203 long non-coding RNA:CR44203
AUCAUCCUGUUUGAGUAAUGCAAUAAAGCAGCAUGCCCAGUUCUUCAUUUUCGGGAGCUUUCCAUACUCCUCGUUCGCACCAGAUGAGAUCUAAUUAUUGUCAAGAGAGUGUACACUUGACACCCACUCCCGGAAAAGCGCGAUGAGCGGUUGUCAGUGCGGAUGGCAAGCGCCUCCGGGCGAUUCCGUACCACCAGCCGGUCCAUCAUCACCAACAACAUCAUUAUCAACGCCAUCGGAGCACGGAUCGGGAUGGAGAGGGAGCGGGCAUGAACUGGGACAGCAGCGAGAUUGGGAACGGGAACCGAACUGGCGAACUGAGCACACAAACACAAAGGCGAAGAUGUAGAGUAGAGUAGAGAAGAGAAGAGACCCUCCGACGGGCAAAAGCGCAAAAUACAUAAUAAUAAAAACAGAAUGUACAAUAAAACGAAUAAAAAUGAAUAACGUGCUGGCGGGGAUUGGAGCGAGGGACCGGCGGUGGGCAGCGGGGAGUGCGG